AGAGGCGGAUGAAACCACGGGAAAGGACUCGGGGCUGAAAUCAACACACUUGACUGGGUUUGGGGAGCUAAGUCAAUCAGCAGUCGCCCGAAAAAGAACUCCGAAAAAGGAAAAUAAAAGGGGAAAAAAAGAGUUCCUCAGGUCAUUCCCCUGCCCAACUUCCUCAGCGGCCCGGUGGGCGAGGCAGUGAGACUUCCACCGCCCGCUCCCAGCCUCUGCCUCCCCCACCCUCCCGGCUCCCUCCCGGCCUAGGCGGCCGCCCGACACCUCACUUACCCUCGGAGCCUGGCGGGUGCUUUGGCCACGGGCCGCCUCCGCCUCUCCCGCUCCCUACGGCCCGCGGGCGGGCGCGGAACCCUCGCGCGGGAGAGCAGGGCCGGCAGGUGAGAGCCGAGAGAGGCGAGGGACUCUGCUUUCGGUAAAUAGGAAGCCCGGUUGGGGGGGCAGGAGCGGCGGCCCCGCAACUUCCCUCCCCGCCUCGAGCGCCGCCGGCCGGGCCCAGGCCUAGCUCUCGCUGGCCGCCACUGCUGGAGCUGGUAACAGAGCCUGCUGUGUGCCCCCGCUGGGCCGCCGCCGCCUCCUGCGCCGCCGCUUCCGCCGGUGAAUGGUCAGUGCUGGAGUUUGAACAGGGCCCUGAACCAUCUCAACGCCAUUUGCGCUCCCGGCCCCCACCUCCUUCCUCCAACAGCCGCUCGCUCCGUCACUCCGCUUCCCACAGUCCCCGCGCGGCCGCCCGACCCCGCAGCCAAUCGCGCAGCCGCUUACUCAAACCGCCGCGCAGGCGCUGCGCCCCGCAUGCUCCGGCGCCCGCCAUUGGCCCGGCCGCGGAGCCCGACGGGAGUUGUAGUCCAGGUCCGCGAGGUCGCGGGCCGAGGACCAGGCGCGGGAGCGGGAGCGGGCGACUGGCCGGGCCCUCCCGGUCUCGGCAGCCACUUCUAGCUCCCGGCCCAGCCGGGAGACGCAGGUGCCACGGAGAUGGGCAGCCGGGCGGGUGGCGCAGUGCAGGCAGCUGUAUCAAUCGCUUCCCCUCCAGGGACCCGCCGGUGCCUGGGGACCGCGGGCUGUGCAGCUGUGCCGGGCCUGCGGAGGCCGCCGCCCGGGAGCUGGGAGGCAGGGGGCGCGUGGUCAAGAGCCGCCCUCGACCUGGCCUGGUCGGUCCUGGCCCGGCGUAGGUGACGAUGGCGGGGACCGCGAGGCGCCGGACACCCGAGGCCACGAGCAGCGUCGCCCCUCGCUUUUUCGCGCCCCUCCAGCCCUGCAGUCCUUCCUCUAAGUCCGUCUGCCCCUCACCGAUUGAAAGUGGCCCCGAGAAUAUUGGAUGAGUGAUCUGGUGUCAGGACUGUAAAAUACGCCUAUGAAAACUGGGGGAGAGGAAUAAAACAAGCUGGCAGAACGUUUUUCAUCGUUGAAGCUGCGUGAUGCGAGCAUAUGUGCUCAUCAUACAGUCUCUUUACUUGUGUAUCUGAAAUUUUCCAUAAUAAAAAGUUUAAAGAAGUGAACCAGCGAUUGCCUCUAGGGAGGACAGUGAGGUGGCGGAUGACGGGAGGAAGGAGUCUUAAUUUUUCGCUGUACGCCUUUUUGUGCUAUCUUAGGUUUUUCCCAUUCAAUGUGUUACCUAAUUCAGAAAAUUGGUAAGUUUUUUUUAAGGCUACCAUGGGAAAACAGCGUUCUAAAGAGUAGCGCAACCAGUUCCCCCUAAGAGAGGUGCAUGAUUCGUCGGACUCCGACAGCCUUGGUGUUUGUUAGGCGGUUAAUGGAGACCCACCUGGGAAAUUAGAAAACUACUAAUUGCUUUCAGUGAGAAGCCCGCCCUUCUCCCACAAAUGGAUAAUUUGCUUUUAAUGCACCCAGAAGUUAUCCAGCUCCCUCCGGUAUAAUCGGGGAAACUCCAAAUAAAGGAAAAAUAGUUCAGAGACCCUGCAGCUCUUCCCAAGAGGAAUUUAAGGUGGAUUUUAGUGUGGUUGGAUUGUUUUGCCUACCUGACUGCAGAAUUUAUAUUCUGACAUUUACAAUUUCCUAAAUACUGAAUCAGUACUUUUUCUUGUUUCAAAAUAAAUCAACUUCUUCUGUAGUUUAUAUGAAAAACAAGUCCAUGUCUUCCACUGUGGGUGGGAUGCACAUGACUGUUUUAUUUGGGUCAGUUUUGUCUCUUUUUUUAAUUGGCAGUUUAGGAACUUGUUUUUAUCAUUUUGUUUAAAGAUCUUCUGGCAGAGGUGCAGGCUGCACUUACUAUAAUUAUUUAGAUGACAAGGUGGUGGGUGGUAAUUAAAGGGUAAUUAUCAUCAGAGGCAAAAGGUAAGAUCAAAAAACCAGAAGAGGUGAGGAAACAAUUGCAAGAUCUUCCUGUAGGAGGGUGUCGUGAUCCUCCCAAGACCAAAGGAUAUGUCUAUUAUGCCUGGCCUCUCUAGUGCUGGACACUUGGCAGGGUCAGUGCCUGCAUGAGGCUGAAGUGGAAGGGCUUAUUGUUUAGACUGGUGCCUUUUGAGGGCUUUUAUGUGAUGGUUGUGUUAAGUAAUGAAACUUAGUAGUGUCAAAUUCUUGCCACUCAAAGAAUGAUCCCCAAUCAGCAGUGUAGCAUCACCUGGAAGCCUGUAAGGAACGCAUAAUUCCUAUCCCUCACCCCAGCUCCACUGAAUCAGAACCUGCAUUUUAACAGGAUUCCCCCAGCUGAUUGGGCUGCACAUUAAAGUUUGACAAGCACUGAUUUAAAGUAUACCCAUAGCAUUUGACAGCAAUCUAGUAUUUUUCGUUAGGAUGAGGGAGAGGAAGGGAGAUGAUUAAGAACCUCCUAUGCAUCAGGUAAGAUGCUAGGCUGUUCAGGGGCCUUGUCUGCUUCCCAGUCCAUUACUCUAUCUUACAAGUAAGGAAAUGGGAAGACUUGUAUGUUACAACUAAUGAGGGAGUCAAACUUUUUCUUGACGGUUGGAUACCCUUUAGUACUUCUUGGUGUUCUUGAAUCUGGUAGAAAGUGGUACAUGAUUUGAGAAGUAAAGUGUGUGUGAGUGUGUGUGUGUGUGUGUGUGUGUGUGUGUAUUUAGUCUGUGGAAGCUUAGUAUAUGAAUAUUAAGCAGAGCUCUUCUGGGCUCUGUACCCUUGUGUGGCUCACACUAAAGACACCCCUCGGGCCCCUCCUGGAGGGAGUUCAGACUCCUGGCCCUGCAGGCUGUACCACCACCUUAACCCCUUACCUCCCUGCUUCCACUGAGGCAAGCAAAUGCCCUGAAGUCCCCUCAUUCCCUUACCAGGGCCCUGGGUUCCACACCAGAAUGAGCAAACAGAACUCCAGUGUGGGUAACACAUGGCUGAACAGCUUUUUGUUGUAUUGUUUUUGUUUUCUUAGUUCUCUCAGCUCAGGCUCCAUCCCCCUGGCCACCUCAACCCCUAGAAUGGUUGUCUCCAUUUCAUGAGAAUCUUCACACUAACAUCAAGUAGCCAGUAGGUGCUUUUGGUUUUGCUAGAAUGCCUGUGUGCAAGCUCUCAGAUACCUGAUUUUCUUUCCCCCACUGAAUGUUGUGUUUGUCAGAAACUGAAAUCAUGGAUCAGAGCCAAGUUUGUAGUACCCUUAGGAGGGGCCUCUGCCCUCCUGUGUGCUGCCUGGGUGAGGACAGAACCCCCUAACCUGGAGCUCCACUUGAGUGGGCCCAUACCUGUACUUUCCUCUGAAAAAAGAAAAUCCUGCAAAGAAAAUAGAAGACAUCUGUUCUGCCAUUGCCAUGCCCUUGUUCUAGCCCAGACAUGAGAACUGUCAGAAUUGGAGUUACUAAAUAGAACUUUUAGUCUUUUUCUGAUAAUGUGUAGUAAAGUGUAUUACAACUUAUAGAAUUCUAUUUAGGGAACUACAGGUCAGAAACUACCAUAUUGGUAGCAGUCAAUUUUUCUUUGCCAUCGGAUGUGGAAUAAAAUGUUAAAUUG
rnacentral:lncRNA from 1 species